rnacentral:rRNA from 1 species
UACGAAGGGGGCUAGCGUUGUUCGGAAUUACUGGGCGUAAAGCGCGCGUAGGCGGCUACCUAAGUCGGAUGUGAAAGCCCCUGGCUUAACUGGGGAAGUGCACCCGAAACUGGGUAGCUAGAGUGCAAAAGAGGGUCGCGGAAUUCCCGGUGUAGAGGUGAAAUUCGUAGAUAUCGGGAGGAACACCGGUGGCGAAGGCGGCGACCUGGGUUGACACUGACGCUGAGGCGCGAAAGCGUGGGGAGCAAACAGG